GUGGAAUGCUAUAAUUUAGAGACAAAUGAAUGGCGUUAUGUAUCUUCCCUACCACAGCCCUUGGCGGCACAUGCAGGAGCUGUACAUAAUGGCAAAAUCUAUAUUUCUGGCAAGUUGUUUUCUAAACUCCCCUUCAUCGCAAAACAAAACCCAGUUAUUCUUUUAAGGUGGUGUGCUUCCUUAAACUAAUGAAGGUAUAUUUGAUUUGUAGGAGGUGUCCACAAUGGUGAAUACGUUCCCUGGCUGUACUGCUAUGACCCUGUAAUGGAUGUCUGGGCUAGAAAACAAGAUAUGAACACAAAGAGAGCAAUCCAUGCAUUGGCUGUAAUGAAUGAUCGACUGUAUGCAAUCGGAGGAAAUCAUUUGAAAGGUCACAUUUUUAAUAGCAAAACAAUGUAAUAUUCUGUCUUUUGAUACAGACUAUUUUUGCUAGGUUAGGUAACUAAGUUUAAAACCCUGCCACACAAUUUAGCAUGAUGCUUGAGACAGCAUCUUUGAAUAUAUAUAUAUAUCACUACAUUAAAUAAAUGAGUAAUGAAUGCUUUAGAUAAUACAAAAAUGGGAACUUCCAUUACUCAGAAGCAUGGAUGAUUUGUCAUCACCGUAAAUUCACUGUAACAAACAGAUUAUUUCUGACCCAAAUUGCCAACAGUAUUUCCCUCUGUAAAUCGUUUCCCAAGCUGGAGAAGAAGCUGUGCUAAGGCUUUGCAAAGAAACAAGUCCUUAAUUUUAGGGGUAAUAUUUAACAACAUUUAAAAUCCCCCACUCAUCUCAAAAAUUGUCUACAAAAUUUAUUUCUAAAAAUCAUUAUUUGCAUUCAUCUUACUAGGGGCUACACCCCUGCUUGCUCCACUUGCCAACACCCCUGACCUCCCCCCAUUAACCCUCUACAGCUUCCCUUUCCCACUCUAUGUAACUACUAAGCUCACUAUUCAUCUUCCCAUCCCAUUUCUGAAGCCUCUGUCCUGUUCUGCAACCCUGCCUUGCACGUUUUUUCACCUUCACCCCUCUGUCUAUUCCUCCUCCUCCUCCUUUUGUGUAACCUUGCACAAACGACCACCAGGGUAAUCUCCUGCACCUUCCUCCUCCCACACCUUAUAACUGCUAAGCACCUUUUUCACCUUCACCCCCUUUUCUUCUCCCCCCCCCGUCUUCUUCUCAGCUCUCUCUUCCACACAGAUAAUCCCCAUUUUCAUGCCUUAAAGGUAAAGGUAAAGGGACCCCUGACCAUUAGGUGCAGUCGUGGAUGACUCUGGGGUUGCGGUGCUCAUCUCGCUCUAUAGGCCAAGGGAGCCAGCGUACAGCUUCCGGUCAUGUGGCCAGCAUGACUAAGCCAUUUCCCUUCCCGAUGGAGCAGUACCUAUUUAUCUACUUGCACUUUGGCGUGCUUUCGCACUGCUAGGUUGGCAGGAGCAGGGGCUGAGCAAUCAUCUCUUAAAUUCUGCAUCUCCCUUUGUACACCAUUAUCACCUUUCAUCCCCAUUCCUACCACCUUAUUUCUCCUUUUCAACUCUCCCUUGCAUACAGGCCACACACACACACACACACCCAUUUCUAUCCCUCCUGCUCUCUCCUUUUCAGCAGCCCUCUUUGUGCUAACAUGCUAUGAUGGUGUAUGUUACUGUAUCUUUAAAAUGACAGAAUCUUAAGAACAUGACUGUCAAGUGAGCUUGUUCAGUUAGAGAAGGUUAAGUUCAGUUGAUGGAUGUUGUACAUAUAUGUGUGUUUGGGGGUUUUUUUGUUAAUAAAUUAUCUCUUCUAAAUAGCUACUUUGAAUCUGGAACAAAGAGAGGUGAAAUACAUUGUGUGAAGGUUGUUAUAGGAUAUUUGAUGGCUCCGCAUCCUUUAUCUCUCACACAUGGAAGGAGAAGCUUGUGUACAAUGAGAAGAGACAAACAGUGAAAGAGAAAAUAUGCAUCUUUUAAACAAUGGAAGAAGUUUGAGUAAAGCAAGGGUAGAGAGACCCUGAGAAGAAAAUUUCAGUUUAAAACAAUAGCAGAGGUUUGAGUAAAGCAGGGAUGGAGAACACUGAGGGUUUUUUGUUUUAUUUUUAAAAAACAGCUUUAACAAGGAGAAAUGGGGAAUAGGUAUAACACAGAAGCUAACACAAUAGAGCCUUUCUCACCUCCCUUCUCGCUGUACUUAAAUCUUGUUUUAAACUGCUACUUUCCCCUCUCAAUAUCACCCUCUAAUUGCUCUUCUCAAAUUUCUGCCAUUGUUUAAAAUAGCCACUUUCCCCCUCUCAUUAUUUCUCCAUUCUUGCUUUACUCAUAUGUCUGCUAUUGUCUAAAAUACACACCUUUCUUCCCUUUCAUUGUUUCUCCCUUAUCUCUGUACUCUAAUUUCUCCUUCUUCCAUUCCUCAGCUGCCUCUGUGAGAGAGAUAAAGGACAGGGAGCACUCAAAUAUUCCAUAGUACCUUCACAUUUCGGUCCUGGUAUUUCACUCCUGGUAUCAUGGAGUAGAAAAAAACACUCUAAUCUCAUAUAUCAGUAACUCCCCAUGAAUGUUCUUUGGCAGCUAAUGGCAGCCAAUAUGUUGUUUAUUAUUAAGGAAAAAAGCAAAUGUUAGCUCAGUGCUGUAGGUUGUGAUGGAGAUAACAAAAGGAAAGUAUUUCACUUUCUUACUUUGAGAGGUUUUCUCCUGUUCUUUACAAUUUAGUCUUUAAUGAUGAACUUACUAAGGGGGGCAAAGUUUUUUAUGUCAUUGAUCAAGUACCAUAUGCUCAUUCUCUUAAAAUAAGUGGUUUCACAUUAUUUGAUAAUUGUGUUGUACAGGUUUUUCGCAUCUUGAUGUCAUGCUCGUGGAAUGCUAUGAUCCAAAAGGUGAUCAAUGGAAUAUUUUGCAAACUCCUAUUUUAGAGGGUCGCAGUGGUCCUGGCUGUGCAGUUCUUGAUGACAGCAUUUACCUUGUAGGAGGCUACAGCUGGAGUAUGGUAUGUAUCCCUUGUCUGUACAUGGAUCUCUCGGUUAUCAUUUGAGAGCAUGCUGCAACCAUUCUGCGGGAAUGAUACAUAUCUAAAUAAAUUGCUGUCAGAAUCUUUGAUGUAUGGAAAAUAUCUGGCUGAUUUAUAACCUGCUUUGCAAAAUCAGUAGUCAUUAUUUCUUUUUAAGCUAUUAACAUCAAUCAAUCAAUCUCCUUUACUGGCUUAAAAAAAGUGCAUUGUAUACAUGGAUCAGAACACAACACAGUUAAUGAAACUGGGAAUAUGGAGUGUCUUGGCCAAAUGAGGGUAGUAUUCCCAACCCCAAUGGGGAACAGGUUUUGUUGGCUGCACUGCAAAGGGUUUGAAAUUCAAUCUCUAGAAUUCUUCACUUGAUUGUCUGGAAUGCUUCCAGUUGUGGGAGCAUAAGUAGUGACUCAAGUUUUAGGCCACAGGUUCUGAUUUUGCUCUCAAUGCAAGUUAGCCAUUUGGAGUGGCGGGAUUCUGCCAGCAUGUGGAAAAUGAAAGAAGCCAGAUCGGACAUGAAAUGUAGGCAGAGCCAGAAUUUUAUAGUGGUGAGCCACGCUUUGGUUUCCAGCAGCCUUUGUCCAGUUUCCAGACACAUGGCUGCAAAGCUAUUUACAUGAGAAUGAAAUUCUGAAUUGAGGGGUGAGAUUCUAACCAUGCCAAGUUGUAUGUGCAGAAUAUGCAAACAAUCUAUGCUACAGUUAUUUAUUGCCUUGGUGAAUUUGUUCUUUAUUCCAGAUAUGAACUUUAUAAUCAAGCAGUUUUACUGCUUUGAGAGGAAAGAGACUAAGUAUAUCCCUAAAAGCAUGGGGAGAAGAGAUGAUGUGGGGGAAUCUGACUAUUCUUGGGCGCUAUUAUCCAGGCUGGUGACAGAGAUUGGUUUUUAUCAGGCACCUGCCAAGCCCCUGGCACUCUGUCAUGAUGCAUUGCAACUCCUGAGAAGGAGCAGCAGCAGCAGCAGCAGCAGCUAUUGCCUUCUGCAUUCUCUCUCUGAGUCUCUCACAAAGAGAAAGCAGGGUUGCUGACUAGAUUAUCUGUUAUCACUUCCAGCAUCCUGCCGAACCCCCCAAUUGACUGUCAGGAGCUCAAGCUCCCACUACCUUGCACUUGACUCACCCAAAGCCCUACUUUCGAGAUGCCUCUACUAUAGUUUUUUUGAAGUUAUGACUAAAUCAAGGCAGUGUGUGUUCAUCUUAGUUGUAAAGGUGAAUACAUUGCAAGUUGCAGAGCAACCAAGGACCAGUUGUUUUCUAGCUGAAGCUGUUCAAAUUUUGCUUGGAUGUCAUUUAUCUGCUACCUCAACAACACUAUGUUGUGUUACAGGGAGCCUACAAAUCUUCUACCAUUUGCUACAGUCCUGAGAACGGAACCUGGACAGAGCUGGAAGGAGAUGUAGCUGAGCCCCUGGCAGGUCCUGCUUGCUCCACUGUCAUACUACCUGCGUGUGUGCCGUACAAUAAAUAACAUACAGGAAGUACUGAAAUGAACACUGUUAAAUGAUGGGUGACUUAAAUAUUUUAAGGGACAGAAUUCCUGGUACUACAUACAACAAGACCCUAUCCCCAAUACCUGCAUUUAUGAUUUUAAAAAAGGACUAAGUAUAGUUCCCACCUCAGACAGACUGGUAUCUUGUCAAACAAGUAGCUUGAAAGCAUGGAACACUGCACAUGUUAACAGAUGACCAUUUCAGAGUGAUCCUCACUUUUCUCUGCUAUAAACCCUCAUAUCAAUUCUAAAUUUAAAGAGAAGAAUUCUAAACAUCCAAACACUGCCUGAACGAACAAAAUUACUAUUGUGCAUUGUAUUUUACCUGCAUGGGAUCUGUGUUGAAGUCAUGGUGAUGUUGCUCACGAUUAAUUCAAAACUGAGAUGCCCAAAUGCAUUGAACUGCAGAAUUGCUUCCCCAUUUUAACCCUAAUCUGUGGCUGCUGACAUGUUCUGCAAGUAACACAACAGAUCAUAAGAGAGAAUGCUUCUGUUCUGAACAGAUUGGCCCCUCAUAUAGUCUGUUCUGAAAUCCCCAUGCCUAAGUGUAGGGCGGGGAGUGGAAGUUUUUCAGAUGUAUCACAAUUGAGGUUUUAGGACUGGUGCCAAUCUUUGAUUUUAUUUGCACUAGUGUAAAUCCAGAGUAAUCCAUAGAACCUCAUUUUAUUAUCCUGUAUAUUAUUCUGUAUUAUUCUGAUUUAAACAUUCUGGCCUAUACAAGUAAUUCUUGUUUUUUUAAGAUUUAAGUUAUUCCUUAAAUUAAUUCAUAAAUUUCAGAUACAAAUUAACAAAUAUUUGAGUCAUUUUGACUAAUAGAUUUGUUAUUUUCCCCCUAUUUAACACCAAAGAACAAAUUCUUUCUUAAAAUGUGGAUUAUGUGGUAUCACAUAUCAUUGGCAAGUAGCUGUAUUUCCUUAAUCUGAUCUACACUGAAAUAUUUAUAAACUAGCUUUGUACCUGUGGUGAAAAGAAAUAUGGGCAUAACAGGUAUAAAGUUUAGUUAAGCUCAACUCAAUUCCAAUAGGCAGUGCAACUGAGGCAAUUUUGAGCCCAGAAUGGAAGGGGUGUUGAGGAUAAACAUUCAUUUGUGACCUUACAAGGAGAAAUGUAGGUGGGAGAGGUUUGGAGCAGAGAAGCAGUGCGCGCAGGAACAGUUAGUAUGCCUCCCAGUCUAUAAAUUACACUCUCUAGAAGCUGCUGAUUCUUUUAAAUUAAAAAGGGCCAUCAGGGUUUAGUCACACUAAUGUUUAACAUCAAGUUAGGCCCUAUAUGUUUUCUUCUACUUUAAUGCAGUGGUACCUCAGAACUCGAACGGCUCCGUUCUCGAACAUUUCGGCUCCCGAACGCCAACAAACCGGAAAUAAGUGCUCCGGUUUUGAACGUUCCUUGGAACACGAACAUCCAACACGGCUUCCACUGUGCAAAAACCUAGCUGUUGGCCAAUCAGAAGCCGCGCCUCAGAACUCAAACGUUUUGGAAGUCAAACAGUCUUCCGGAACGGAUUCCAUUUGAAUUCCGAGGUACCACUGUAUUUGUCAUAUUUGUGUAGCGUGCUAGACACAGCUAUUUCACAUUAGUGCUGUGCAAGGCUUUUGUAGAAUGGGACACUUUGUCCCUACCUAUCUCCAUCCAAGUCCCAUUGGGCCUCUUGCACAGAAAUAAAGAGUAUGGGCAUAAGAAUAUGAUUUGAUUCUUGCUACCAAUGGAUGGAAAGAAUUUUUCAAUUUUUUUGCCCUUCUUAGGACUCUUAUGUCAGAUCCUACAAGCUGCACCACCCCUUCAGCAGCCAGUUCACACACUAACCUAUAGUCUGUAUGAAAAAUAAAAUUGUCUGCUCAGAAAUACAAGACAAUAUAGAAUCAAAUCUAGUUUUACAAAAAAAACAAAACACCUUUAUGUUCAAAUCUCAGACGUGUAAGGGAACAACAAAGAGGCACAGGGUACAAGUAGGCAGAAGUCAUACAUCAUAGCUGACCAAAAGGAAAGGUAGGAAACUCAAACUAUAAGACUUAGGCUACUAAGAAAGUAAUAAAACGGAUAACAAUAAAUACUGGAUUUCUUAAUACUACGGCUACUGUUGUUUUGCUAAUGCUAAUUUCAUUGUUGUCACUUGCAGAAAACUAGCAGAGAUUCAGUCUCUUCAAAUGUUGCAAAUGAAUUGUUUAGGGAACUGUAUCUGAAAGAAAGAAAGGAAAAAUAGUGAAGUCCCUGUUACAGAGUUCCUGAAACUGGAGUGUUUGUCCUGGAAACUCAACCCAUUUUUCUUACGUAGUGCAAUCUCUGUUAGUUUUGUAUUUAUUUGUGUUGUUCCGAUCAAAAAAAAUUACUUGUAAAAUAAUACGUUGUGCAAUCAUAACUUGGGGGGGGGAGGGUUUUUAGAAAUCUAUAUGUAUAUAUAAAUAUAUGGAAAGGAAACCUGUUACCACUCCAAAUGAGAGAACAUUUUAUGGCGUUUAAAAAUACCAGGACUUGCCACUAUGUUGUCCCAUGCCACUGCUAAAAUGCCACUUUAAUGGGAAAGAUGGGGGAUUUCUUGUCCGUUUAAAAGUUCUUUUUUUAAAAAAAGGCAAAGAUAAUUAAAGCAUUUAUGAGGAAUAUAUGUAAAUCUUUCUAAUUUUUGGGAAGGCAUGACCAAGGAAACCAUACAAGUAACCAAUAAUGUAAAUUUUGUACAGUACUAGAAUGUGUAAAUGAAGCUUGCUUGUAGGGCGAGGGGACUUUAAAUAAAAACUUAUGUACUAAUGCA